rnacentral:rRNA from 1 species
GAUGAACGCUGGCGGCGUGCCUAAUACAUGCAAGUCGAACGCACAGCGAAAGGUGCUUGCACCUUUCAAGUGAGUGGCGAACGGGUGAGUAACACGUGGACAACCUGCCUCAAGGCUGGGGAUAACAUUUGGAAACAGAUGCUAAUACCGAAUAGAACUUAGUGUCGCAUGACACAAAGUUAAAAGGCGCUUCGGCGUCACCUAGAGAUGGAUCCGCGGUGCAUUAGUUAGUUGGUGGGGUAAAGGCCUACCAAGACAAUGAUGCAUAGCCGAGUUGAGAGACUGAUCGGCCACAUUGGGACUGAGACACGGCCCAAACUCCUACGGGAGGCUGCAGUAGGGAAUCUUCCACAAUGGGCGAAAGCCUGAUGGAGCAACGCCGCGUGUGUGAUGAAGGCUUUCGGGUCGUAAAGCACUGUUGUAUGGGAAGAACAGCUAGAAUAGGAAAUGAUUUUAGUUUGACGGUACCAUACCAGAAAGGGACGGCUAAAUACGUG